GUGUUUUACUGGGAAUCUCCGCAACUUUGCUGAUCGUAUGGCCUAGUGCCGGCGACGUUUCAAUUGAGUUUCUGCCCUAUCAACUUGUUGGUAAGGUAUUGGCUUACCAAGGUUGCAACGGGUAACGGGGAAUCAGGGUUCGAUUCCGGAGAGGGAGCCUGAGAAACGGCUACCACAUCCAAGGAAGGCAACAGGCGCGCAAAUUACCCAAUCUAGACAGUAGGAGGUGGUGAAGAGAAUUACUAGGUGGUGACUCAAUGAGUUACCAGUUUGGAAUGAACGUAACUUAAGAAAUUCGAUGAGAAACAACUGGAGGGCAAGUCCUGGUGCCAGCAGCCGCGGUAAUUCCAGCUCCAGUAGUUUGCUUUAAAGUUGUUGCGUUUAAAACGCUCGUAGUUGGAUCACGCAGCAGUGCCCAGUAAUCUACUAUUCGACGUAUCACUGAAAACCACUUGUGUGGCCUUUCAUGAGCUGUCAUUAGCAGAUACCAACGCUGAGCACUGUUAGUUGCACGUGAGAUGAAUUGUUGGCCUUUAUUGAGCCGGUAUUCUCGUCUUGCGGAGUGUGCCUUGAAUAAAACAGAGUGCUUAAAGCAGGUCGUUGCCUGAAUGUUAUAGCAUGGAACGAACAAUCGUGUAUAUGUGUGUAUCCUAGAUUGGUGACGAGCCUUAGGCUUGUUGUUGAUCUGGAUGCAUACGGCACCCACCUAAAUAUGGCUGUUGGUUCCAUAUACGGUGAUGAUUAAAAGGAGCGGUUGGGGGCAUCGGUAUUUGGCCGCGAGAGGUGAAAUUCUUAGACCGGCCAAGGACUAACAAAUGCAAAGGCACUUGUCUAGACCGUUUCCAUUAAUCAAGAACGAAAGUGGGAGGUUCGAAGACGAUCAGAUACCGUCCUAGUUCCCACCGUAAACUAUGCCGACCUGGGAUCAGUUUAGAGAUGUUACAAGCUCUAGAUUGGUCCCCCUGGGAAACCUCAAGUUUUUCGGUUACGGGGAGAGUAUGGUCGCAAGGCUGAAACUUAAAGGAAUUGACGGAAGGGCACCACCAGGGGUGGAGCCUGCGGCUUAAUUUGACUCAACACGGGGAAACUUACCUGGUCCGGACAUCGAUAGGAUUAACAGAUCAAUAGCUCUUUUAUGAUGCGAUGAGUGGUGGUGCAUGGCCGUUCUUAGUUCGUGGAGUGAUCUGUCGGCCUAAUCGCGGUAACGAACGAGACCAUAAUCUCCAUUUAAGAGAUAGAAGCAGACGUCUGUGCGAGUGGAGUCGCAAGAUUUCACCCGUCGGGUGUUGCAGGUUGCAUUGUGCGUCGCAUUGUCAAAGUGUACCAGGACAUCUUAGGGCAUCACAGAGUACUGUGUUAAAGCCUUACAGGAGCCCGUAUUUGUCUAGACACAGCCUGUGCACAGCGGACUAAAAGUCAA
rnacentral:rRNA from 1 species